rnacentral:snRNA from 1 species
AGAUCAUUUAGAUACUGUCACCCCGUUGAUCGCCAGGGUUGAUUCGGCUGAUCUGGCUAGCUAGGCGGGUGUCCCCUUCCUCCCUCACCGCUCCAUGUGCGUCCCUCCCGAAGCUGCGCGCUCGGUCGAAGAGGACGACCUUCCCCGAUAGAGGAGGGGACCGUUCUUCGGUCAAGGGUAUACGAGUAGCUGCGCUCCCCUGCUAGAACCUCCAAACAAGCUCUCAAGAUCAUUUAGAUAAAUUGUCUUUUAUUAUUACCAUCGUUUCAUAAAAGAACCAGCUUUA